CCAAAAUAUCAUUGCAAAAUUUCGUGGUUGCAGUAUUUGUCUUGUUAAUUUUGCAUUCCUCCCUUUUCUCAUAAAGUGUUAAUUCUGUGUUAGUUAUAUCUUAUGUUUUCUAUGUUCAUUGCUUCUGUUGACUUCAGAUUGUGCAUAUGUGGAGAAGCAUGUAUGAUUGCCCUCAGGUUUAGAACAUAUUGCAUAACAAGCCAUUCUCCUUGGCAGCCGACCUAGAAGUGAGGUCACAAUUGACACCCCUUGUCGUCCAACUUCCGGCACUUGAAGUCUCUGUGCGACAAAAUUAUGCUUGCCAUCUGAUCACCUUGCCGCAUGGUGAGAAGAUAGAUUAAGUUGGAGUUCGAGAGCUAAUAUUGUUGGCACAAAUGUUUUGAGCAAACAACUAAAAGAAGGGUAUACUAUGCUUUGCAGAUGGAAAAUGAUUCCACGGCCUCAUAUAUGCCUAUGGUAUAUGUAACUAAGCAUGAAUCAAUUUUUUUUCUCUUCAUGGUGCUAUUGCAUGCAGCAUGCUUGUGCAUAUUUAUCAAAGUAUUCAGUUGAACACUUC